AAAGCCGUCUCAGUUCGGAUUGCACUCUGCAACUCGAGUGCAUGAAGUUGGAAUCGCUAGUAAUCGCGGAUCAGCACGCCGCGGUGAAUACGUUCCCGGGCCUUGACACACCGCCCGUCACACCAUGGGAGUUGGUUUUACCCGAAGGUGGUGCGCUAACCGCAAGGAGGCAGCCAACCACGGUAAGGUCAGCGACUGGGGUGAAG
rnacentral:rRNA from 1 species